GGACAGAUCACGGCUCUGCAGGGCCGUCUAGAGAACUAAGCCUGAUCAACAUGAGGAACGUGGAGGCCAUCGUGGACAGCAAGUGGAGAACAUCACUGGAGUGAUCAACAAGCUCAGUAACAACUGUAACCACCAGUGUGCCGUCCAGCCCUCUCCUCAGUUCAUCAUCGCUCCCAAGGACUGCUCUGACUACAACAUGCUAAAGGAGAGGAGGAACGGAGUCUACCAGGUCACGCCAGACCCCAAGAACGGCACGUUCCAGGUCUACUGCGACAUGGAGUCGUUCGGCGGCGGCUGGACCCUGGUGCAGCAGCGCCUCAAUGGCACCGUCAGCUUCAACCGCUCCUGGGCUGAGUACAAGACGGGAUUUGGUGACCCCCGGGGAGAGUUCUGGUUGGGCAACGACCGCAUCCACCUCCUGACCAAGGCCAAGGACAUGGUUCUGCGCAUCGAACUGGAGGACUUCCAAGGGGUGCGGGAGUAUGCCAAGUUCGACCAGUUCUACGUGGCCAACGAGUUCCUGAGGUAUCGCCUCUCCAUCAGCGGGUACAGUGGCACGGCCGGCAACGCGCUGCACAUGAACAAGCACUUCAACCACGACCAGAAGUUCUUCACCACGCCAGACAGGGACAACGACAUGUACCCGUCAGGGAACUGCGGCGCGUACUACAGCUCUGGGUGGUGGUUUGACGCCUGCAUGUCAGCCAAUCUCAAUGGGAAAUACUACCACAAGAGAUACAAGGGCGUGAGGAACGGCAUCUUCUGGGGAACAUGGCACAACAUGUCUAGUGAAGCAUACCCCACCAACUACAGGCAGGCCUUCAAGACGGUCAAAAUGAUGAUACGGCCGAAGAACUACGCUCCGUAAAGGAGAACGGAAACAACCGGAAACAUCAGAAAUACUUUUUUCUUCUUGACUUUCUGCUUCUUUGACCUUUCUGCCUCCCACUGUCAAGUUUAACCACACGGUUCAGAGACAGUCUGAGACACCUGGGUUCCCGGGAAUAAAACAGCAAUGAAAUCUUCAAAAGGUUGGAAAAGUCUCCACCGAAGACAAACGUAUGAUAUCACAGUCAUAGGAAAUGUCUGGCUAUCGGUCAAACAACAUACUAUGGACCAUGUGCCACUGAACUAACAACAGCAACAAAAUGGAGUCAGAUAUGUUUGCUUUCUGCAGAAUAAUUACAUUGGUUGACUGCAGGCACCGCAACUGUUUCCAGACAUCUGUAAUUCCAUUGUCUGUAUAAUACUGCCACCUAGCGUUAUGUCAUUGCAUUGCAUCCUCAUCUAGACAGGCUAAGCAGCAUGGAAACUAAAGGCCGCAAGUUCAAGGAGGAAAUGUACAGUAUUUAUUUUUGAAAGUAUGAUAGCUUUUGUAUAACUAAUAUAUGGACUGUAUGUUCAUGCAGUACACAGUGAUUGCCUAAGAUGAGUAGCCCAAAAA